GUGCUCGCUUCAGUGGUACAAAUACUAAAAUUGGAAUGAUGCAGAGAAGAUUAGCCUGGCCCCUGCACAGCGAUGACAUGCAAAUUUGUAAAAAACCAUAUGUCAUU
ensembl:snRNA U6 U6 spliceosomal RNA